UACGGAGGGUGCGAGCGUUGUCCGGAAUCACUGGGCGUAAAGGGCGCGUAGGCGGCCUGAUAAGUAGGGGGUGAAAUCCUGCGGCUUAACCGCAGGGCUGCCUUCUAAACUGUCAGGCUUGAGCACUGUAGAGGCGAGUGGAAUUCCGGGUGUAGCGGUGGAAUGCGUAGAGAUCCGGAAGAACACCGGUGGCGAAGGCGGCUCGCUGGGCAGUGGCUGACGCUGAGGCGCGACAGCGUGGGGAGCAAACAGG
rnacentral:rRNA from 1 species